rnacentral:misc_RNA from 1 species
AUGUGCGCGCGCAGAUCUUCGGCGCCGAGCGCACAGUUGAAGCCGAUGGUGAUGGGAUCGGCGUGCUGGACCGAAUACCAGAACGCUUCCGGCAACUGCCCGGAGAGCAAACGUCCCGAUUUGUCGGUGAUGGUGCCGGAGACCAUCACCGGCACAUGGAUGCCGCGCGCCUCGGAGAUUUCGGCGAUGGCGUAGAGCGCGGCCUUGGCGUUUAGCGUGUCGAAGAUGGUCUCAACGAGCAGCAGGUCCGCGCCGCCGUCGAGCAAUCCGUUGAU